UACGAAGGGGGCUAGCGUUGUUCGGAAUUAUUGGGCGUAAAGAGCUCGUAGGCGGUCUGUCGCGUCGAAUGUGAAACCCCGAGGCUCAACCUCGGGUCUGCAUUCGAUACGGGCAGACUAGAGUUCGGUAGGGGAGUCUGGAAUUCCUGGUGUAGCGGUGAAAUGCGCAGAUAUCAGGAGGAACACCGGUGGCGAAGGCGGGACUCUGGGCCGAUACUGACGCUGAGGAGCGAAAGCGUGGGGAGCGAACAGG
rnacentral:rRNA from 1 species